UAGAGGUGAUCUGACAUACAAGUUGGCUUC
rnacentral:piRNA from 1 species